ACCCGCUGAACUUAAGCAUAUCAAUAAGCGGAGGAAAAGAAACUAACAAGGAUUCCCCUAGUAACGGCGAGUGAAGCGGGAUGAGCUCAAAUUUGAAAUCUGGCUGGUCUCCAGUCCGAGUUGUAGUUUAAAGAGGCGUUUUCGGCGGCAGCCUGGGUAUAAAUCCUUUGGAACAGGGUAUCAUAGAGGGUGAGAAUCCCGUCUCUGACUCAGUGCAUGUUGCUAUGUGAUACGUCUUCAAAGAGUCGAGUUGUUUGGGAAUGCAGCUCAAAAUGGGUGGUAAAUCUCAUCUAAGGCUAAAUACAGGCGAGAGACCGAUAGCGAACAAGUACCGUGAGGGAAAGAUGAAAAGAACUUUGAAAAGAGAGUUAAACAGUGCGUGAAAUUGUUGAAAGGGAAACGUUUGACACCAGUCAUGCGGGUGGGAAAUCAGUCAUGUGCAGUCGGGAGUGGUAUGGGUUUGGACCGUAAGGCCGGCCUUUGCCUCAUCUAGGCUGUUGGUGAUGCACUUUUUCAUCUGCAGGUCAACAUCAGUUUCCUCCGCUGGAUAAAACUCUAAGAGAAUGUGGCAGCUUUGGCUGUGUUAUAGCUCUGGGGCGAUACAGUGGCGGGGACUGAGGUUUCGCAGUGUGUGCUUUCGGGCAAGGCUGACUGGGUGCUAUGGAGUGGUGCUUCGUACAAUGCUUGCAUUUUGCGUUGUGUCCAUUCUGUACUCGCCUAUCUCGGCUCUUCCACGCUUAGGAUGUUGACGUAAUGGUUUU
rnacentral:rRNA from 1 species